UGCCUCUCACAAAUGCUCUGUUAGAAUCUUAGUAAACAUAUACCUGAAUAUUUUUCACCAUUUUAUUACAGGUGGCAGGUCUGAGUUGAAGCACUGUGCAGCAGACAGCUGCACAUCACCUGUCCUCUUGCAAAGAAGAUGCAAGAAAUAUGGUAUGCACUGAGCAAAUAUGAGAAAGUAAGCAUUUGAAUAAAAAAAGAACGUGCAGAAAUUUUGGCAGUAUAUCUUGCCCGUGAUGGUUUUGGCCAGCAUGCAGACUGGGUUGUAGACUUUGUUCAGUCUCUUAUUUUCACCAUGUAAAGUGAGAACAGAGUCUGUUGCUGUUUUUACAACUAAGCAAUGUCAUAAAAAUAUAAUACUGAUUAAACAUAUUCUUUUGUGCAAUUCCUGCAGCUGCAUGUCAGUAUGAACAGUAUGGCACUUCAGUAUGAGCAUGACAGCUGUCUUUUUCUUUCUUUACUCCAGUCACAUUUUUUGUCAUCUUGCUAGUUCCCCAUACACAUAGAAUUAUUAGUAUUUGUUGAGAAGAUGUGAGGUUCUGUCAUCUCCCUUGGUAUGUUUAGGCUGCCUUUUAAAUCUUUACAAAAGGAGAUGGUCUCAAAGAUCAUUCUUAUUUCACAGAUUCACUAGGCCUCCCCUUCCAGAUGGACUGCUUUUCAAUAGCUGGUUAUCCAUGGGGUUAUUUUAACUUAAUUCAGGUGACUUUAAGAGCUAACGACAAAAACAAUCAUCAAGGAAACUAACUGGCUCAGACUCAUGGCACAGCAGGACAUCUUGUCAAGUACUGCAAAAAAGAAGUGAACUGAAAACAAAAUAGCACCAGUUCUUUCAACUUUAUUCUUACACAGGUGAUUGUGACUAUACAAAAAUCCUGCGGAAAUAAGGUUGUCAGACUGGAUGAUCAAGAUGGGCCCUUCGAGUCCUGAAGCCUAUGGAACUCUGAUCUAAAAUGACAUGAUCACACACCACUUUCCCCUCGGCGAUGCUGACUUCAGUGCACCAGUCCAUCUGCAGAACCAACAGAAAUCCCAAGAUGGCCAUCUGGACAGAUUUCACUUUUAUCAUGCAGCCACCGUCACUGUCUCUUCUCUCAGAAAUAUCUAAUUUGUGGGAAGCAGACAGAAGCAGUGUUAAGACAGCUGCCUGAAGUCUAGCUUUCUGGUCAGGUAAGAACGCUACAGAAACUAGAGAUCUGCAUGGUUGAGAAAAAUGUAUGGAGUGGUUAAAAAUAGCUGAUACACUGAACUAGUCAGUUUUCAUGUCGGGUUU
rnacentral:lncRNA from 1 species